rnacentral:rRNA from 1 species
GACGAACGCUGGCGGCGUGCUUAACACAUGCAAGUCGAACGGAAAGGCCCUGCUUUUGUGGGGUGCUCGAGUGGCGAACGGGUGAGUAACACGUGAGUAACCUGCCCUUGACUUUGGGAUAACUUCAGGAAACUGGGGCUAAUACCGGAUAGGAUCUCCUGCUGCAUGGUGGGGGUUGGAAAGUUUCGGCGGUUGGGGAUGGACUCGCGGCUUAUCAGCUUGUUGGUGGGGUAGUGGCUUACCAAGGCUUUGACGGGUAGCCGGCCUGAGAGGGUGACCGGCCACAUUGGGACUGAGAUACGGCCCAGACUCCUACGGGAGGCAGCAGGGGGGAAUAUGGCACAAUGGGCGGAAGCCUGAUGCAGCAACGCCGCGUGCGGGAUGACGGCCUUCGGGUUGUAAACCGCUUUCGCCUGUGACGAAGAGUGAGUGACGGUAAUGGGUAAAGAAGCAACGGCUAACUACGUG